GGUGCCAGGCCCCUCCCGGGGCACUGCGGACCUGGCAGCGCCUGGGGGUCCCGCCUGAAUCCCGGGAGGCGGCAGGGUCACGGAGGAGUUGGGCUUGAAACACCUUUCCUGCAGUUUUUAGCAUGGCCUGUGCUAUGGAGACACCAAAAUUGCGGUCAAAUGCGGAGCUACUCAUCUGCCCCAGUUCAAGAUGAAACAAGAAGCACUAGUGAUCUCUGCAGAUUCCUGUGGUAGUAAGGUUUUGAGAAAUACAUAUAUAUAUUUAUAUGUAAAUGUAGUAACUGGUAAACAAGUUCCAAGAGCAGGCAGUGAAAAUAGCACACAUACACGUCUGCUCUGGCUCGGGUUCCACACGUGUAGCGUUCAUGGGGUUGGGUCCGGGCUCCACCCAUCCUGAGCACUAAGGCCCCUACCCUAAAGAGGAGUAACAUUUCAGACUCCUUCCAUUUGGUUUCCUGUCUAAAGCGCACAGUCAGUGGAGACUUGAUUUAAUACGUGGCAAUCCAUGUUUAAUCCAUGCAAGGCCUCUGUCGGACACGGGGGGAAGCUUGGAGCAGCUUCUCACAGAAGCCACCCCUGCAGUCCACGCCACCUCCAACUCCACCGUGCAAACCCAAUACAUCGUGGCCCAAGGAGUCAGAUUUAAGCAGCCAACUGUUUCGAAUAUUAGUUGUACAGCUGGGUUAAAGUCACUAGUCUACACUGGAGCUGCUACUGAGAAGUAACAGAAAAAAUGGUCACAACAGAAAAUUAGUGGAGUCAUUUCUCUUUGGCAUUUAACAAUCUGUUGCAUUUAAUGUUUGUAUAAAUGACUUUUCACCACUGAUGGUAUCACAAACAAAAUUUAAUGCAUACAAACCCUGAAAUACUUGUUUUUUAACAAAGCUACUACAGAAUGGCAUCUUGUUUCACAAGGACAACUUUAGAGUAGAGGCAAGUUCUUUGCAGCCACAGUAGCAUAAACAGCAUGCAACACAUGACAUUAAACAGAUGCAAUGUCCAUGUUUGAAACAUUAAAUUAAAACACAUUAAACAAUCACUGGAAACACAGGCCAUGCUAUAAAAUGCCCUUUACAAGUCACCUUAAUUACCAAACCCCCCAAUAAAUGCUAUCUUUUGAGUACUUACUGGUAAAAACUAGUAUGACAGUUUCCCCAGUUCAUUAAAGAGCUAUAGUUUGAUACUUGUUUGUAAAAUAGAAUGCAUACAAAAUAUUAAAAUAAAAAGUUCAUAAUCAUAUUAGCAAUCACCUUCACAUGUUCAUAAAAUCCUCUUUUGGCUGAAGCUCAAAAUCAUGUAGGUAUUUCUAAAGUUGUAGCAAAUCACUAAGAUUCAUUCCCCCUAGCUGCUUCUGAAAUGCAU